rnacentral:rRNA from 1 species
GACGAACGCUGGCGGCGUGCUUAACACAUGCAAGUCGAACGCUGAAGCCCUUUCGGGGGUGGAUGAGUGGCGAACGGGUGAGUAACACGUGGGUAAUCUGCCCUGUACUUCGGGAUAAGCCUUGGAAACGGGGUCUAAUACCGGAUAGGACCUGUCCUCGCAUGGGGGUGGGUGGAAAGUUCCGGCGGUAUGGGAUGAGCCCGAGGCCUAACGGAUUGUUGGUGGGGUGGUGGCCUACCAAGGCGACGACGGGUAGCCGGCCGGAGAGGGUGACCGGUCAAACUGGGGCUGGGACACGGCCCAGACUGCUGCGAGAGGCAGCAGUGUGGAAUCUUGCGCAAUGGGCGAAAGCCUGACGCAGCAACGCCGCGUGGGGGAUGACGGCCUUCGGGUUGUAAACCUCUUUCGACAUCGACGAAGGGGCCCUGUUGUGGGGUUUUGACGGUAGGUGUAGAAGAAGCACCGGCUAACUACGUGCCAGCCGCCGCGGUAA